AGUGAACGCUGGCGGCGUGCCUAAUACAUGCAAGUCGAACGGAGAUUAAGUAGCUUGCUAUUUAAUCUUAGUGGCGCACGGGUGAGUAAUAUAUAGCUAGCUUGCCCAUUACUAAGGGACAACAGUUGGAAACGACUGCUAAUACCUUAUACUCCGUAUCUAUAUAAGUAGAUACGGGAAAGUUUUUCGGUAAUGGAUAGGGCUAUAUCGUAUCAGCUAGUUGGUAAGGUAAUGGCUUACCAAGGCUAUGACGCGUAACUGGUCUGAGAGGAUGAUCAGUCACACUGGAACUGAGACACGGUCCAGACUCCUACGGGAGGCAGCAGUAGGGAAUAUUGCUCAAUGGGGGAAACCCUGAAGCAGCAACGCCGCGUGGAGGAUGACACUUUUCGGAGCGUAAACUCCUUUUCUUGGGAAAGAAUUAUGACGGUACCCAAGGAAUAAGCACCGGCUAACUCCGUG
rnacentral:rRNA from 1 species